GAUGAACGCUGGCGGCGUGCCUAAUACAUGCAAGUCGAGCGAACAGACGAGGAGCUUGCUCCUCUGACGUUUGCGGCGGACGGGUGAGUAACACGUGGAUAACCCCCCUAUAAGACUGGGAAAACUUCGGGAAACCGGAGCUAAUACCGUAUAAUAUAUUGAACCGCAUGGUUCAAUAGUGAAAGACGGUUUUGCUGUCACUUCUAGAUGGAUCCGCGCCGCAUUAGCUAGUUGGGAAGGUAACGGCUUACCAAGGCAACGAUGCGUAGCCGACCUGAGAGGGUGAUCGGCCACACUGGAACUGAGACACGGUCCCGACUCCUACGGGAGGCAGCAGUAGGGAAUCUUCCGCAAUGGGCGAAAGCCUGACGGAGCAACGCCGCGUGAGUGAUGAAGGUCUUCGGAUCGUAAAACUCUGUUAUUAGUGAAGAACAAAUGUGUAAGUAACUAUGCACGUCUUGACGGUACCUAAUCAGAAAGCCACGGCUAACUACGUG
rnacentral:rRNA from 1 species